rnacentral:rRNA from 1 species
AUUUAAAGUCUAGCCUGCCCACUGAAAUUAAUUUUAAUGGCCGCAGUAUUUUGACUGUGCAAAGGUAGCAUAAUCAUUAGUUUUUUAAUUGAAAGCUUGUAUGAAAGGUUGGACGAGGUAAAAUCUGUCUCUAUUUAAUUUAUUUUAGAAUUUAAUUUUUAAGUUAAAAAGCUUAAAUUUUAUUAAAAGACGAGAAGACCCUAUAGAUCUUUAUAAUUUUUGUUAUAAAUUUAAUUAUGAAUUAUUUAGAAUUUAUAAUAUAAAUUAUUUUAUUGGGGUAAUAAAAAGAUUAAAAUAAUUCUUUUUUAUUUUUAACAUUAAUUUAUGAAUUUAAUGAUCCAAUUUUAUUGAUUAUAAGAUUAAGUUACCUUAGGGAUAACAGCGUAAUUUUUUUAGAGAGUUCAUAUCGAUAAAAAAGUUUGCGACCUCGAUGUUGGAUUAAAGAUUAGUUUAGGUGUAGAAGUUUAAAUUUUUGGUCUGUUCGACCAUUAAAUCUUUACAUGAUCUGAGUUCAGACCGGCGUAAGCCAGGUCGGUUUCUAUCUUUAAUAAUUUUAAAAUAUUUUAGUACGAAAGGACCAAAUAUUUAAUAUAUUUAUAUUUUAUUUUUUGAAUAUUAUUAAAUUGUUUUGGCAGAUUAGUGUAAUGAAUUUAGAAUUCAUAAAUGUAAUUAUUUUUACAAACAAUACUUGUUUUAUAUAGAUUUAAUUUUUUCUUUAAUUUGUAUAUUUUUAUUAAUUAUUUGUGUUUUAGUUGGGGUAGCAUUUUUAACUUUAUUAGAA